GAUGAAGAACGCAGCGAAAUGCGAUAAGUAAUGUGAAUUGCAGAAUUCAGUGAAUCAUCGAAUCUUUGAACGCACCUUGCGCCCUUUGGCUAUUCCGAAGGGCAUGCCUGUUUGAGUAUCAUGAACACCUCAACUCUCAUGGCUUGCCGUGAUGAGCUUGGACUUUGGGGGUCUUGCUGGCCUGUGGUUGGCUCCUCUCAAAUGAAUCAGCUUACCGGUGUUUGGUGGCAUCACAGGUGUGAUAACUAUCUACGCUUGUGGUUUUCCACCAGGUUAACCUUCAGCGAUGGAGGUUCGCUGAGCUCAUAAAUGUCUCUUCUCGGUGAGGACAGCUCUUUGAACGUUUGAUCUCAAAUCAGGUAGGACUACCCGCUGAACUUAAGCAUAUCAAUAAGCGGAGGA
rnacentral:misc_RNA from 1 species